CAUGCAGUCGAACGCGUUGGCCCAAUUGAUUGAUGGUGCUUGCACCUGAUUGAUUUUGGUCGCCAACGAGUGGCGGACGGGUGAGUAACACGUAGGUAACCUGCCCAGAAGCGGGGGACAACAUUUGGAAACAGAUGCUAAUACCGCAUAACAGCGUUGUUCGCAUGAACAACGCUUAAAAGAUGGCUUCUCGCUAUCACUUCUGGAUGGACCUGCGGUGCAUUAGCUUGUUGGUGGGGUAACGGCCUACCAAGGCGAUGAUGCAUAGCCGAGUUGAGAGACUGAUCGGCCACAAUGGGACUGAGACACGGCCCAUACUCCUACGGGAGGCAGCAGUAGGGAAUCUUCCACAAUGGGCGCAAGCCUGAUGGAGCAACACCGCGUGAGUGAAGAAGGGUUUCGGCUCGUAAAGCUCUGUUGUUAAAGAAGAACACGUAUGAGAGUAACUGUUCAUACGUUGACGGUAUUUAACCAGAAAGUCACGGCUAACUACGUGCCAGCAGCCGCGGUAAUACGUAGGUGGCAAGCGUUAUCCGGAUUUAUUGGGCGUAAAGAGAGUGCAGGCGGUUUUCUAAGUCUGAUGUGAAAGCCUUCGGCUUAACCGGAGAAGUGCAUCGGAAACUGGAUAACUUGAGUGCAGAAGAGGGUAGUGGAACUCCAUGUGUAGCGGUGGAAUGCGUAGAUAUAUGGAAGAACACCAGUGGCGAAGGCGGCUACCUGGUCUGCAACUGACGCUGAGACUCGAAAGCAUGGGUAGCGAACAGGAUUAGAUACCCUGGUAGUCCAUGCCGUAAACGAUGAGUGCUAGGUGUUGGAGGGUUUCCGCCCUUCAGUGCCGGAGCUAACGCAUUAAGCACUCCGCCUGGGGAGUACGACCGCAAGGUUGAAACUCAAAGGAAUUGACGGGGGCCCGCACAAGCGGUGGAGCAUGUGGUUUAAUUCGAAGCUACGCGAAGAACCUUACCAGGUCUUGACAUCUUGCGCCAACCCUAGAGAUAGGGCGUUUCCUUCGGGAACGCAAUGACAGGUGGUGCAUGGUCGUCGUCAGCUCGUGUCGUGAGAUGUUGGGUUAAGUCCCGCAACGAGCGCAACCCUUGUUACUAGUUGCCAGCAUUAAGUUGGGCACUCUAGUGAGACUGCCGGUGACAAACCGGAGGAAGGUGGGGACGACGUCAGAUCAUCAUGCCCCUUAUGACCUGGGCUACACACGUGCUACAAUGGACGGUACAACGAGUCGCGAACUCGCGAGGGCAAGCAAAUCUCUUAAAACCGUUCUCAGUUCGGACUGCAGGCUGCAACUCGCCUGCACGAAGUCGGAAUCGCUAGUAAUCGCGGAUCAGCAUGCCGCGGUGAAUACGUUCCCGGGCCUUGUACACACCGCCCGUCACACCAUGAGAGUUUGUAACACCCAAAGUCGGUGGGGUAACCUU
rnacentral:rRNA from 1 species